rnacentral:rRNA from 1 species
GACGAACGCUGGCGGCGUGCCUAACACAUGCAAGUCGAACGGAACUGUUUUGAAAGAUUUCUUCGGAAUGAAUUUGAUUUAGUUUAGUGGCGGACGGGUGAGUAACGCGUGAGUAACCUGCCUUCAAGAGGGGGAUAACAUUCUGAAAAGAAUGCUAAUACCGCAUGAUAUAUCGGAACCACAUGGUUUUGAUAUCAAAGAUUUUAUCGCUUGAAGAUGGACUCGCGUCCGAUUAGUUAGUUGGUGAGGUAACGGCUCACCAAGACCGCGAUCGGUAGCCGGACUGAGAGGUUGAACGGCCACAUUGGGACUGAGACACGGCCCAGACUCCUACGGGAGGCAGCAGUGGGGGAUAUUGCGCAAUGGGGGCAACCCUGACGCAGCAACGCCGCGUGAAGGAUGAAGGUUUUCGGAUUGUAAACUUCUUUUAUUAAGGACGAAACUUGACGGUACUUAAUGAAU